rnacentral:rRNA from 1 species
UUUGGGGAGGUAAUUUCUCCUAAGGCUAAAUACGGGCGAGAGACCGAUAGCGAACAAGUACCGUGAGGGAAAGAUGAAAAGAACUUUGAAAAGAGAGUUAAACAGUACGUGAAAUUGUUGAAAGGGAAACGAUUGAAGCCAGUCGUACCUUCGGGUAAUCAGCCUUUUGGGUGCGAUUCUGUGGAGUUUGAGGAGCUUAACACCUUCAUGCUUUGCAUAUUCGUGCUCUUGGGUGUACUUGCCCGUGUGGUUGGUUAACAUCAAUUUUGGGGGUCAUAAAAUGACUGGAGGAAUGAUGCUUUCCAUAAAAA